CAAAACUAUAAACUGAAAUUCCAAGAAAUUUACAUACUUUUGUGAUGAAUGUUUGAUUAAGAAAAUGAUAUCCAAUUGGUCUCAAAUGACUAGCAUUUGAAAAUUAUUUGAGUCUACUUUGAGUUUGGUGUUUAUUACUAGCUAAAAUUCUUGAUAGUUUGGGAGAUAUGGCUCGUUCUAUGCAUGUAUGUCACUGUUAGCAGACUGUGAUAAUUUUCAAGAAUAUUACUUCUAUUAUACUGAGAGUUUGACUAAGCAAUUGGAGCCCAAAUGACACAAAAUUACCGCCAUUAGAAAGAUAUGCACGUCUAGUAAAAUAUUUAUUUUUUCUCACUGCCAAAAUUCUAUAUGAAAAUGAAGUUAUGUUUCUAAUUGAGAGGAUAUAUCACUAUCGACUAUUUUCCUAGAUGUUUCUCUAAUACUACUAUGGUCACUGAUUCUAACUAACCAAACGAAGUUCAUUUUCAGCUUAACCACAACCAUUUGAAAUAUCUUUGAAUAGGCUAAACUUUGCGUGUAGAAACUAUUUUGAAAUUCUUCUUGGGUUGAAAGUUAUAUUGUGUUUUAUGAAGAUAUGUCCUUGUGGACAACUUUUAUAAAACUCAAAAUUUAUGCCUCAGUCGCCAUGGAGUUUUACUGACAAAAAGGGGACCAUUUUCUUCCAAACUGCUGCCAUUAGAACGGUUCAUAAGUAAUCUUAAAUUCACAAGUUCAUCACUUUUUGGAAUUUCUUCUUGAUUGUGAGUUAUGAUGUAAAAUUUAAA
rnacentral:lncRNA from 1 species